UACGUAGGGGGCGAGCGUUGUCCGGAGUUACUGGGCGUAAAGCGCACGCAGGCGGUCUGUGAAGUUUGGAGUGACAGUUGGUGGCUCAACCACCAAAGUGCUUUGAAAACUGACAGACUUGAGGGCUUCAGAGGGACACGGAAUUCCGGGUGUAGUGGUGGAAUGCGUAGAGAUCCGGAGGAACACCAGCGGCGAAGGCGGCAUCCUGGACUGGUCCUGACACUCAGGAGCGAAAGCGUGGGGAGCGAUCCGG
rnacentral:rRNA from 1 species